GUGGGGAAUAUUGGACAAUGGGCGAAAGCCUGAUCCAGCCAUGCCACGUGUGUGAAGAAGGUCUUCGGAUUGUAAAGCACUUUAAGUUGGGAGGAAGGGCAUUAACCUAAUACGUUAGUGUUUUGACGUUACCGACAGAAUAAGCACCGGCUAACUUCGUGCCAGCAGCCGCGGUAAUACGAAGGGUGCAAGCGUUAAUCGGAAUUACUGGGCGUAAAGCGCGCGUAGGUGGUUCGUUAAGUUGGAUGUGAAAGCCCCGGGCUCAACCUGGGAACUGCAUCCAAAACUGGCGAGCUAGAGUACGGUAGAGGGUGGUGGAAUUUCCUGUGUAGCGGUGAAAUGCGUAGAUAUAGGAAGGAACACCAGUGGCGAAGGCGACCACCUGGACUGAUACUGACACUGAGGUGCGAAAGCGUGGGGAGCAAACAGGAUUAGAUACCCUAGUAGUCC
rnacentral:rRNA from 1 species